AUUUUUUUGAAUAAAAGCAUUAAUUAAAUGUAGUGUUUAAGAGUUGUAUUCAUUGCUCUCAGUUUAAAUUGAUUGCCAGUGAAGUGCAUUAUUGCAAACAUAAUUACGAUUCCCAAGAGUUAAGUCAUAAAUUUUAACUACUAAAUAAGAUUACUACGCGAUCUAUUUGCAGCGGACUUAAACGUACCACUUUUUAAGUAUGUAAACCGUCCAUAUACAUCCGAGGUUGUUUUAGAAAAAAAUGGCCGAGGAGCUCCGAAUGUACCAGGGUACAUGUAUCAUGCUGGAAAAUUACGAAUGUGUCAGACGAAUUAUUUUGUUUUUCAUAGAAGAUAAACAAAAUCAUCGAGCUUUGCAGAACGAUGAAUCAGAAUGACUGAAUGACACUAAGUUUUGCAAAAUGGAUAUAUCCCUAACUUCCAUGGCCUUCGACAUAUUUGAGUGGGAUCCUGAAACAACCCCUGACACAACAACUUAAUUUACAAGAACAACCCUGCGUACUACAAUACUUAUGAACAACUCUGAUUACUAGAACAUGAACACCAACCCCAUCUUCAAGAACAACAACUUCAACCCCAGAACAUCAACACUUCCUGCAGUGACAACUACAAAAACAUCGGCUUCAAGAACAAAUUCAUCCUAAACACAAACAUCAGCAACAACAGCUACCCGAAUAAAACUACUCGAACUAUAAGAACACCAGCAACACACUCUUUAAGAACACCAGCAUCAUCAUCUUCUUCUAGACUUGCAAAUGCAACAAACACCAAAGACAAAGUUGAAUGGCUAACUUCAAUGGAGAGGACAGAGUAAUGGCAAAAAGACGAUCAUUUUAAAGAGAGGAGGAAGAGGGAUAUGUAAAGAGUGUUCUGAGGCCAGGAUAUCAGCAGUGCGUUCAGUCAGGCGAGCGUUUACAAAACGCUCGCAAAAGUUUUGUUUUGUAUCCCUGUUGCAACGCAGCGCAUAUACGUUAAGCGGGAAACCAAACAGCAAACGUUCGCCGCAAACAUCUUUACUGAACG